AGAGGCCGGGCACAGAACCUGGGCGAGGAGUUUCCACCCACCCAGCGUGGCCUCACGUGCUCCCUAUUUGCGCUCAGUGUUUCAAGGGUUGAUGUUGAUCAGAUGUUUCCGUGUUCCAUUUGAAGUCUGAAGUGGGUUUCCUUCAAUUGCUUAGAAGGGUAUGAAGAAUGCGAUUUCUUGGACUGAACUUAUGGACAAGUGAACCUCAGCUCCAGAAAAUAAAGGAGCCGGCUGGCAACCUUUCUCAAGGGGACAGUAUGACAGGCUUUCCUGUAUUUCACCCUGGCUUCAAAUUUGCUUCAUAGCCAAAGGUGACCUCCUGAUAAUCCUGCUUCCACCUCACAAGUGCUGAUAUCACAGGCAUGUCUGUGCACCUUGUACAUGCCUGAUAUCUACAGAGGCCAGAGGAAGAUUGCAGAUCUUACAGAGCUAGAGUUACAGAUAGUUGUGAACCACCAUGUCUGUUGGUGAGAUCUGAAGCACCACUAAUGUUCACAUAACCUAAGAAGACCAUCAAGGUAAAGAAGAGACCCUAUACCUUCCUCUCACUAAUUCCUUUUCUACUGUUGUCUUGUUUUUAUGUUUAUUUUGUUCCUGGAUGCACAGGUAUCAUAGCAGGAACUCUAACAGUCACUGUAGAACAAGAGGAGCACAUGACAGAAAUUGCGACUUAAUUAUGUCAAAGCAGCAAAGGAGACCAGCAUGCCCCCGAGGAGACUAUAGGUGCCUAGGAUUUGUGAUGGAACACUUAGGCCUCUAUCUUACUUUGGCAACUAAUAUGGCUAUUUUUUAAAGACAGUCUUUUCCUAUAUUAUGUUGUUUCCUAUGCUAGUGUUGAAGCUGAGAUCCACUUGCUUCAGCCCCUGGAAAGUUACAGGUGUGUGUCACCAUACCAGGUCUUGGUGUGUAUGUGUGUCCUCAUGUGCAUGGGGAGGAUGUAAGGGGGUAACAGAGGCAAACACUAACAUCAGUCUCUUCCUACCUCAGUAAUUGUAAUGAAUAAAUUAGAAUGAAAAUCAACAUACAAAGAGGAAAUAUGUAUUUAAAUACUCUUAGAGAUUUCAGUGACACUAGCAACCUCCCUUUCCAAACAAUAUUAGCUUGAUUUCCCCAUAGUUGCACUUUCUGCAAAGCAAUGGGCCUGCUUUGUAACAAAUGUCCUUUCAGUAAGCCUGGAUGGCCACAUAUAUUUUGUCUUCUUUUAAUGCGUGCCAAAAAUUAUACUUCCUUCAAGCUGAAGAUAAAGCAAAAUACACAGCACACGAAAUCAAUUCCUUAUCUGAACUUUCUGCACUUAGUUAAGGCACACUGCUUCACGAUUCAUACGCACUGUUGGCCUGAAAAGUCACCCACACCAUUCUUACACAGACUGAGUUCUCUUUCACUUCCUGUAAGCUUUGUGUAAGAGAAACUUAUCCUUAAAGACAUCAGGUUGAGUCCUUGCCUCCUACAUUUCUCUUCUCCUCCUCCUCCUUCCCCUCUUCCCCUCUCUU